rnacentral:tRNA from 1 species
GCUUCCUUGGUGUAGUCGGUUAUCACGUCGGUCUCAUAUCUCGUCGAGUAUGACUGUUCUAAGAAUAGAAAUCCGAAGGCCGCCAGUUCGAAUCUGGCAGGGAGCA